rnacentral:lncRNA from 1 species
GAUUCAUUUGGGAAAGCAAAGCACAGGCAGGGCUGGUUGGGCUCGGACACGUGUGGGUUGCAGCCCCAGCUCCAGCUCGCUCGGGUGGCAGCGAGGGGACACGGCUGCUGUCACCGCAUCGAUCACGGAUUUGUGCCCCUGGGAAGAUCAUGACCCCAGAGAAAUGCUGCUGGAGAAGGGCUGGCAGGGUUAGUUUGGAAGCCAAACUGUCUCAUCACAGCCCCACUUCUGGUUUUGGCCUGCCGGGAGGGAAGAUGCAUGCGGGCUGUUGGGCAAGAAUAGAAAAAGGGAUCUAAAAGGAGGAAGCGACAGAAAUGCCAAGUUGCUUCAGGCCACCGCCAGCCCCGCUGCGCAGCGUGGAAAAUGCCCCCGGUUCCUACAUCCCUCGUGUCCCCCGUGCCCAGGGGGAGGACAGCCAGUCCCUAAACCCCCAGCCCCAUGGAGAAACCCCGCUGCCUUCACCAGGCUGGCAGCAUCCCCGUCCCCUCUGCUCUGCCCGUUGGUGCUGCAUGCGCAGGGCUCAGCUGUGCUCCUCCAAACCAGCUCCAGGAGGAAGCCACGUGUGUGACAGCACAGGACAGAAAGCAGCACCGUGCACGGCCCCACGCUCAUGGCUUUAUCACCCCGUCCUGGUGCUGCUUGGGGUCUGCACGCCAGCACCCACAAGGAAACAAGAGAAAGAGCACGUCUGCAAGCACGAGGUUUCCGUGUCAUCACCGACAUUCGCACCCUCCACACGCACAAGACUUCAGUGCUCCUUGCAGGAAUUUUGUUUUUGCUUCCUUUUGCUGCAAGCCUCGAGCUCGGGGCUUCCCCUGCCAGCGGGGACCUGCUGCUUUGCUGCCCACCUGCCCACGAGGCUGCUGCAGCCCGCACACAGCCCACGGGAACCUGCUUUUAAAACACCCCCGGCCCCACCGAAGCUUUCACCCUGCUGGGAGGGAAUAUCCCCAGAGCAGAGCGGAGGCUGGGGGCAGCUCGUGUACGCACGACAGAAGCCGUGUGGGUUUUUUAAAGCCAGGCCGAGGACAAAUCCCCAUGAAAAUGUCAGAGAGCCGCGUUCCGACCAAGUAGGUCAGGCUGCGGUUCCUGCAGCCGCGCUUCCUCCGGCUGCACGUGCUGCACGGCGCCGCCGAGCUGCCUGGCCACGCUGACAGCACCCGCUAAGGGCUGGGGUUUAACAGCCAGGCACAGGAGCACAGCCCCGGGACAAAAAGAUGCUCCCCGGGUCCC